UGGUUUUCAGGUAUAAUAUUGCUGCAAAAGACAAAACAACAUUGUCUUUUGCAGCAAUAUUAUACCUGAAAACCA